rnacentral:rRNA from 1 species
CGUAGGGGGCUAGCGUUGUCCGGAUCUAUUGGGCGUAAAGAGCGCGUAGGCGGCUAGGUAAGUCCGACGUGAAAUCUGGAGGCUCAACCUCCAGCGGUCGUUGGAAACUACUUGGCUAGAGUCCGGAAGAGGAGAGUGGAAUUCCUGGUGUAGCGGUGAAAUGCGCAGAUAUCAGGAAGAACACCGAUGGCGAAAGCAGCUCUCUGGGACGGUACUGACGCUGAGGCGCGAAAGCGUGGGGAGCGAGCAGGAUUAGAUACCCUGGUAGUCCACGCCGUAAACGAUGGGUGCUAGGUGUGAGCGGUGUCGACUCCGCUCGUGCCGAAGCUAACGCAUUAAGCACCCCGCCUGGGGAGUACGGCCGCAAGGCUA